rnacentral:rRNA from 1 species
UACGUAGGGUGCAAGCGUUGUCCGGAAUUAUUGGGCGUAAAGAGCUCGUAGGCGGUCUGUCGCGUCGGCUGUGAAAACCCGGAGCUCAACUCCGGGCCUGCAGUCGAUACGGGCAAACUGGAGUGUUGCAGGGGAGACUGGAAUUCCUGGUGUAGCGGUGAAAUGCGUAGAUAUCUGGAGGAACACCGGUGGCGAAGGCGGCGUUCUGGACUGCAACUGACACUGAUGAACGAAAGCCAGGGGAGCAAACGGG